CACAAACAGACAGUUUUAACUGUGGCAUCUUCUGUUUGAUUUUUGCUGAGAAACACAUGACUGGUGCUGCUGACAGCCUUGUACAUAUUACCCUGGCUGAUCUCAACAUAAUGAGGCGGAAAGUGGCGAAGAAGGUUAUGUGUUCCUUACUGGUUGCUGCCCAAAGUGUGGAAUGACUGUGGA